rnacentral:lncRNA from 1 species
AAGACGACUGGCAUCAACCUCGGGUACCUCUUCAACAGUCAAGUCCUCCAAAGGAACAGAUAUUGUAGUCGAGGGAUCCGGCACUACCCCUGUCUCUACAGGGAUAGUCUCCUCUGCAUCUCUGCACCAAAAAGCAUCACUACAUGAUUUCAAGACAACCCAACGUCAUUCAAACAGACAAGAAAGCUCACCAGGUUGAACGUGGCGGCAGUCGCACACACUUCUUCUCGGCGACAGGCAGCCGAGUACUAGGAGCUGCGGGAAUAGCCACCGGCGCUGUCUUCUCGCCAAGGCCUACAAAACCAAAGUCAAGACUACAGUACUACUCAAACGAAUACAAUCGGAAGGGACAACGCUUACCACUGGCGAUCAAGUUGGACAGCAAAGUACCAGUAGCAAGUACUGGUGACACCUCCUUUGCAACGCCCGCUACUCCAGCAGGCAGCCCCAGGACUGCUUGGUCAGCAAUGGGCGGCAUGGCAGCCGAUGGAGUAGGCGCGGAUAGCUCGGGGGCAACUCCAGUUUCUGUUGAUGGCGCCUCC